rnacentral:rRNA from 1 species
ACUGAUUGAUCCUGUCAGCAGUAUUUGCUUGUUCAGAAGACUAAGCCAUGCAUGUAUAAGUUCACACCUUAAUACGGUGAAACCGCGAAUGGCUCAUUAAAUCAGCUAUUAUUUAUUAGAUCUUACAAGAUUACUUGGAUAACUGUAGUAAUUCUAGAGCUAAUACAUGAAUAUGUGCUUUGGUUCACGCCAAAUGCGAAUUUAUUAGAUCAAAACCAACCGGUUUCGGCCGUUAAAUUGGUGACUCUGGAUAACUAUUCUGAUCGCAUGACCUUGUGUCGGCGACGUAUCUUUCAAGUGUCUGCCCUAUCAACUUAAGUUGGUGAGUUAGUUGCUCACCAUGGUUAUAACGGGUAACGGAGAAUCAGUGUUCGAUACCGGAGAGGGAGCCUUAGAAACGGCUACCACAUCUAAGGAGGCAGCAGGCGCGCAAAUUACCCACUCUCAGAACGAGGAGGUAGUGAAUUUAAAUAGCGAUGAUGAACUCUUAUGAGGCUCGUCAAUCGAAAUGAGUACAAUUUAAAUCCUUUAACGAGUACCAAUUGGAGGGCAAGUCUGGUGCCAGCAGCCGCGGUAAUUCCAGCUCCAAUAGCGAAUAUUAGAUUUGUUGCAGUUAAAAAGCUCGUAGUUGGAUCCAAGGUUAGGCAUGCCUGUCUGUUCUUAGUAGCAUGACUGUGUGUGUCUGCCUUUAUUAGUUGAAUGUUCAUUAUGGUGGUCCUCAUCGACUGCUAUGAUGUGCUCAACACGUUUACCUUGAAAAAAUCAGAGCGAUCAAGGCAGGCCUUCGUGCUUGUAUGUUGUUGCAAGGAAUAAUAGAAUAGGACUUCGGUUCUAUUUUGUUGGUUUUGAGAAUUGAAGUAAUGAACAAUAGAGACAGUCGGGGGCAUUUGUAUGGUGGCGUUAGAGGUGAAAUUCUGAGAUCGUCGCCAGACAAACUACUGCGAAAGCAUUUGCCAAGGAUGUCUUCAUUAAUCAAGAACGAAAGUCAGAGGUUCGAAGACGAUCAGAUACCGUCCUAGUUCUGACCAUAAACGAUGCCGACCUACAAUCGGGGGUGGUUUAUUAUAUUGACCCUCCCGGCUGUCCUCAGGAAACUUUAAGUUGGUUCUGGGGGGAAUAUGGUCUCAAGACUGAAACUUAAAGGAAUUGACGGAAGGGCACCACCAGGAGUGGAGCCUGCGGCUUAAUUUGACCCAACACGGGGAAUCUCACCCGGUCCGGACACUGGUAGGAUGGACAGAUUGAUAGCUCUUUCUUGAUUCAGUGGGUGGUGGUGCAUGGCCGUUCUUAGUUGGUGGAGUGAUUUGUCUGGUUAAUUCCGAUAACGAACGAGACUCUGUCCUGCUAAAUAGUCCAGUGGCAUCAAUCACUAUGUGAUUACAGCUGCUGUUACUUCUUAGAGGGAUUCGCGG